rnacentral:rRNA from 1 species
GACGAACGCUGGCGGCGUGCUUAACACAUGCAAGUCGAACGGAAAGGCCCUGCUUUUGUGGUAUUCUCGUGUGGCGCACGCGUGUGUAACACGUGUGUAACCCCCCCCUGUCUUUGGGAUAACUUCAGGAAACUGUGUCUCACACCGGAUAUGAGCUCCUGCGGCUUGUUGUUGGAUAGUAAGUUCCGGCGGUUGGGGAUGGACUCGCGGCUUACGCGCUUGUUGGUGGGGUAGUUGCUUACCAAGUCUCUGAGGGGUAGCCGGCGUGAGAGGGGGACCGGCACCAUGGGGACUGAGAUAGGCCCCAGACUCCAACGGGGGGCAGCAGUGGGAAAUAUUGCACAAUGGGCGGAAGCCGGUGGAAGAAACCCCGGGGGCGGGAUGACGGCCUUCGGGUGGAAAACCGCUUUCGAAUGUAACGAAGCGUUAGUGACGGUAAUGGGUAAAGAAGCACCGGCUAACUACGUG